rnacentral:tRNA from 1 species
GCCUAUAGCUCAAUGGUCAGAGCAGAGGACUCAUAAUCCUUUGGUUCCAGGUUCGAGUCCUGGUGGGC